GGACCCCUAGCUCAACAGGUAGAGCGGCUGUCUCUUAAACAGCAGGUUCAGGGUUCGAGUCCCUGGGGGUUCACCA
rnacentral:tRNA from 1 species